rnacentral:snoRNA from 8 species
GCUGUUCAGUGAUGAGGCUCAGAGUGAGCGCUGGGCACAGCGCCCGAAUCAGACACUGUGGAACCAUUCUCUACUGCCUUCCUUCUGAGAACAGC